rnacentral:rRNA from 1 species
GAUGAACGCUGGCGGCGUGCCUAAUACAUGCAAUUCGAGCGAACAGACGAUGCUCUUGCUCCUCUUACGUUUGCGGCGGUCGUGUGAGUCACACGUGUCUACCCUACCUUUUUUUCUUGUAUCACUUCGCGAUCCCUUAUCUAAUAUCGGUUCUUAUAUUGAACCUCUUGGUUCUUUAGUUCUUUCCUUUUUUUCUGUCCCUUUUUCAUUUUUCCGCGAUGGAUUAGCUAGUUGGUAAGGUAACGGCUUACCAAGGCUACGAUGGGUUGCCGACCUGAGAGGGUGAUCGGACACACUGGAACUGAGACACGGACCAGACAACUACGGGAGGCAGCAGUAGGGAAGAUUCGGCAAUGGGCGAAAGCAUGACGGAGCAAAGCCGCGUGAGUGAAGAAGGUCUUAGGAUCGUAAAACACUGUAAUUAGGGAAGAACAAAAGUGAAAGAAAAUAUGGACGUAGUGACGGUACCAAAACAGAAAGCAACGGCUAACUACGUG